rnacentral:rRNA from 1 species
UACGUAGGGUGCAAGCGUUAAUCGGAAUUACUGGGCGUAAAGCGUGCGCAGGCGGUGAUGUAAGACAGUUGUGAAAUCCCUGGGCGCAACCUGGGAACUGCAUCUGUGACUGCAUCGCUGGAGUGCGGCAGAGGGGGAUGGAAUUCCGCGUGUAGCAGUGAAAUGCGUAGAUAUGCGGAGGAACACCGAUGGCGAAGGCAAUCCCCUGGGCCUGCACUGACGCUCAUGCACGAAAGCGUGGGGAGCAAACAGG